rnacentral:pre_miRNA from 1 species
AGAUCUUGGUGCGGACAUUUUCUUUGGUUAUCUAGCUGUAUGAGUUUUGUUCGACAUCAUAAAGCUAGAUUACCGGAGUUAAGCUUAGUAGACUUCUAAUCUUAUUAAGA